AUGCCAGAUCCUAAUGCACAGAAUUACAGGCUCAGUCUGAUUACAUUCCCUCUAAUCCUCCAGGUCUCUACCUUCAGCCCUCUGCACCUUCUGUUAAAGCUCUGGGCACUUCUAGGCUCAAACCCCACAGCCAAGCUCUGGAUUUCUGCUCCUGUCUUUGGCCAUAGCUGCGUUGCGUACCAGUACAGUCAGCACUCUCCACGAACAUUCAGGGAAAGGCAGGAGGAGCUUCAGUCAAACGCACAGUCUCAGCAUUCACACUAAGCACUCCAUGUGACCAGAAAGCCUCGUGUGCAAGCCGCAGUCAUACAGGAGCUGAACUAAGGAGCUGUGAUAAAGUGAUGCCAGAAGAAACCUUCUCACAGCACAGCAAAUUCUAACACUUCCAUAAAUCCAAGAAGUCAGCCUGAAUAUAUAGUAACUUCUUAUGUACUUCCAUAAGGUGUUUGUGUAAUAGAUAUCAUACACACUGGUGUUGUUAGCAGAAAGAAAUGAGUCACGUCCAUAUCUACAUCAUACUAUCUAAUUACUAGGCACCUGAUUACUUCUGGCACACCUGAUUUUGCCUAUGCCAUUAGCAUUCACUGAGCAUGCCUUAGGGAUCCUGAUUUUUCUAAUCCUAAAUGUAAUCCUUAACCUCCAUUUUAACUCUCCAAAAUUGUUGCCCUGAAUGCCUCCUGUGAUGCUGUUACUUAUUCAUGGUUAUAGACAGCAUUAUUUCAUCAGCCCAUCUACCACUUACUCUCCUGAUUCUCCCUAUUCAGCAGCUGCUUUGCUUCUUUCCUUUUUCAGUUCACUUGGAAAAGCCUGUAAUGGCUCCCCCACGGAUCCUCACUACUCACCUAUCUCAGUCCAAGCGUGAUGGGUGGAAUCAGGUCUCUUGCUGAGAGCAGUGACUGGUGGUUAUCAUCAGCUGAACUGUGCUUAUGGCAGGUGCUAAAGGUUCACCAGCUUUUGAUUUUUAUCUCCUCUGCUUCUAACUAGAGAGAACCUGUAAGAAAGAGAAAGAAAAAAUGGAAGCCCAAGCUCACACAGACUGUGCAGGUACCUUCAAUAAUACACCAGAACCUACAUCUCAGCAACCAAACAUCUUCCCUGACUACACACACUAGAAAGAGAUGGUGAAAAAAACAAUCACCAGUUAUGAGAAUUGGGCUAAGGAGAGGGAGGGCAGCAAGACAGGCAUUCCAUUUGCCAAGUAGGAACUUAAACUGAUUAGCUUCAAGUAGCCUGGAGUGAAUGUUGACACCAAUUUGACUUAAAA
rnacentral:lncRNA from 1 species